rfam:Bacillus sp. SA1-12 scf7180000003379, whole genome shotgun sequence.
UUAUUGGAGAGUUUGAUCCUGGCUCAGGACGAACGCUGGCGGCGUGCCUAAUACAUGCAAGUCGAGCGAAUCUGAGGGAGCUUGCUCCCGAAGAUUAGCGG